rnacentral:rRNA from 1 species
AGUUUGAUCCUGGCUCAGGAUGAACGCUAGCUACAGGCUUAACACAUGCAAGUCGAGGGGCAGCAUGAACUUAGCUUGCUAAGUUUGAUGGCGACCGGCGCACGGGUGAGUAACACGUAUCCAACCUGCCGAUGACUCGGGGAUAGCCUUUCGAAAGAAAGAUUAAUACCCGAUGGCAUAGUUCUUCCGCAUGGNAGAACUAUUAAAGAAUUUCGGUCAUCGAUGGGGAUGCGUUCCAUUAGGUUGUUGGCGGGGUAACGGCCCACCAAGCCUUCGAUGGAUAGGGGUUCUGAGAGGAAGGUCCCCCACAUUGGAACUGAGACACGGUCCAAAUCCUACGGGAGGCAGCAGUGAGGAAUAUUGGUCAAUGGACGAGAGUCUGAACCNAGCCAAGUAGCGUGAAGGAUGACUGCCCUAUGGGUUGUAAACUUCUUUUAUACGGGAAUAAAGUGAGGCACGUGUGCCUUUUUGUAUGUACCGUAUGAAUAAGGAUCGGCUAACUCCGUGCCAGCGGCCGCGGUAAUACGGAGGAUCCGAGCGUUAUCCGGAUUUAUUGGGUUUAAAGGGAGCGUAGGCGGACGCUUAAGUCAGUUGUGAAAGUUUGCGGCUCAACCGUAAAAUUGCAGUUGAUACUGGGUGUCUUGAGUACAGUAGAGGCAGGCGGAAUUCGUGGUGUAGCGGUGAAAUGCUUAGAUAUCACGAAGAACUCCGAUUGCGAAGGCAGCCUGCUGGACUGUAACUGACGCUGAUGCUCGAAAGUGUGGGUAUCAAACAGGAUUAGAUACCCUGGUAGUCCACACAGUAAACGAUGAAUACUCGCUGUUUGCGAUAUACAGUAAGCGGCCAAGCGAAAGCGUUAAGUAUUCCACCUGGGGAGUACGCCGGCAACGGUGAAACUCAAAGGAAUUGACGGGGGCCCGCACAAGCGGAGGAACAUGUGGUUUAAUUCGAUGAUACGCGAGGAACCUUACCCGGGCUUGAAUUGCAACUGAAUGAUGUGGAGACAUGUCAGCCGCAAGGCAGUUGUGAAGGUGCUGCAUGGUUGUCGUCAGCUCGUGCCGUGAGGUGUCGGCUUAAGUGCCAUAACGAGCGCAACCCUUAUCGAUAGUUACCAUCANGUGAUGCUGGGGACUCUGUCGAGACUGNCGUCGUAAGAUGUGAGGAAGGUGGA